rnacentral:lncRNA from 1 species
CCAAAAACAUAUUCUUGCUCUAUAAAAAGAAAAGUUUCUUACUCAAUAAAAUGGUGCUAUAGAUUUGUCAUGCUUUUAUAUCUUUGUUGUAUAAGUGGAUUAAAUAUUUUUCAUGUUCGUAAAACAAUAUCAGCAGUUCCAGAUUUAGUGUAGUAGGGUCACCUAUGGUCAGUCUGAUCCAGCAGAACAGUCAUUAAUUGAAUUUUUUUUCUCUUGGAAUUCCUGUAGCCUGCUUACGGGAUCCUCUCUAACACGAUGGAUGCGGUUGAACCAUCCGACUUAACUUCAAAAGCUGAGAAGACAACCAAAGCUUCUUCUACUUUUAAGGAUGGAACCUUCCAUCUGUUCAGGAACCUCAUCAUGUGCUUCUCCACUGCUUGGAUUUCAUCAGUGCUCCAAGGUGUUUUCUUACAGGGACCUAUAAAAUAAAAUGAAAAUUGACAUUUUAUGCAUAUAGUGUCUUAAAAGCUCAGAUCUUUAAUAAAAUCAGCAUUUGCCACA